rnacentral:rRNA from 1 species
AUUGAACGCUGGCGGCAUGCCUUACACAUGCAAGUCGAACGGCAGCACGGGGGCAACCCUGGUGGCGAGUGGCGAACGGGUGAGUAAUGCAUCGGAACGUGCCCCGUAGCGGGGGAUAACCAGUCGAAAGACUGGCUAAUACCGCAUACGCUCCACGGAGAAAGCAGGGGAUCGCAAGACCUUGCACUAUGGGAGCGGCCGAUGCCCGAUUAGCUAGUUGGUGAGGUAAGGGCUCACCAAGGCGACGAUCGGUAGCUGGUUUGAGAGAACGACCAGCCACACUGGGACUGAGACACGGCCCAGACUCCUACGGGAGGCAGCAGUGGGGAAUUUUGGACAAUGGGCGCAAGCCUGAUCCAGCCAUGCCGCGU